rnacentral:rRNA from 1 species
GAGGAAUUUAUGGCUCUUCGUAGGUGACCUGCGGAGGGAUCAUUACACAAAUAUGAAGGCGGGCUGGAACCUCUCGGGGUUACAGCCUUGCUGAAUUAUUCACCCUUGUCUUUUGCGUACUUCUUGUUUCCUUGGUGGGUUCGCCCACCACUAGGACAAACAUAAACCUUUUGUAAUUGCAAUCAGCGUCAGUAACAAAUUAAUAAUUACAACUUUCAACAACGGAUCUCUUGGUUCUGGCAUCGAUGAAGAACGCAGCGAAAUGCGAUAAGUAGUGUGAAUUGCAGAAUUCAGUGAAUCAUCGAAUCUUUGAACGCACAUUGCGCCCUUUGGUAUUCCAAAGGGCAUGCCUGUUCGAGCGUCAUUUGUACCCUCAAGCUUUGCUUGGUGUUGGGCGUCUUGUCUCUAGCUUUGCUGGAGACUCGCCUUAAAGUAAUUGGCAGCCGGCCUACUGGUUUCGGAGCGCAGCACAAGUCGCACUCUCUAUCAGCAAAGGUCUAGCAUCCAUUAAGCCUUUUUUCAACUUUUGACCUCCGAACAAGGAAGGAUACCCGCUGAACUUAAACAUAUCAAUAAACCGGAAGGA